GUUCCAUAUCAUAGCGGUUCGAAUUAAAAAUGAGGAGGCAAAUCGCAUCGUAGGUACGUAUCCGUGGAAUUUCAACGAUAUUAGAAAGAAAUAGAAAUGCAGAAAUACUCUAUAAUUUAGU